rnacentral:tRNA from 1 species
GCGGAAGUGGCGAAAUGGUAGACGCGCUACUUUGAGGGGGUAGUGGGAGUUUUCCUGUGCGAGUUCGAGUCUCGCCUUCCGCACCA